CCUACGGGGGGCUGCAGUGGGGAAUAUUGGACAAUGGGGGGAACCCUGAUCCAGCCAUGCCGCGUGUGUGAAGAAGGCCCUCGGGUUGUAAAGCACUUUCAGUGAGGAAGAACGCCUGGUGGUUAAUACCCAUCAGGAAAGACAUCACUCACAGAAGAAGCACCGGCUAACUCCGUGCCAGCAGCCGCGGUAAUACGGAGGGUGCGAGCGUUAAUCGGAAUUACUGGGCGUAAAGCGCGCGUAGGUGGCUUGAUAAGCCGGUUGUGAAAGCCCCGGGCUCAACCUGGGAACGGCAUCCGGAACUGGCAAGCUAGAGUGCAGGAGAGGAAGGUAGAAUUCCCGGUGUAGCGGUGAAAUGCGUAGAGAUCUGGAGGAAUACCAGUGGCGAAGGCGGCCUUCUGGACUGACACUGACACUGAGGUGCGAAAGCGUGGGUAGCAAACAGGAUUAGAUACCCGGGAAGUC
rnacentral:rRNA from 1 species